rnacentral:lncRNA from 1 species
AGUAUUGGUUGAACCUGGUAGCAACUUUUAUGCAAAAACAAGCUGAGAUUGCUGUUCGGGUGAGCCAAGGCUAGCUCCUUCUUGAAGGCUGUACUUUGACCUAUAAUUGUUAACAUUAAAUACAUUGUGACCGAGGAUUUUUUUCUCAAAUGAUAUGGCUAAAAUUACCCGUUUUCCUUUGAUUUCCUUACUUUAAGAAAGAUCAGUUUUGCUGGAUCCUUGAAGCAAUUUUCAUGCAAACAAUUAUUAUCUGCAUUUACUGUAUUUAAAGAUAUUGUUUUUAGAAACUGGUAAGUUCAAAAAACAUAUAAAGCAAGAU